rnacentral:lncRNA from 1 species
ACAGUUCAUCAGAGGCUGCAAUGUAUUGAGCAAAGGAGUUGCCAGUAAAGGUCCUAAACCAGAGGUGGUGCUGGUGGUAGGAGAAGAGACUCUCCAUGAUCUCACACGCUGAACCCUCAGAGAGAUUCAUAGAAACUGGCGGGAUGUUUCUGUGAGGAUCUGCAAAACUCCUUUUCCCUCAGCAGAGAUCCGAAGAGGGGGCUGUUCCACACAGUUUUUCAAAGCAUAAAUGCCAUCACAAAGCCAAUCUUGUCUCUCUUUGAGGGGGGAGCUUGUGCCAGCAUUGCAUAAACUACAGUUGAAACAUGGUGACUUUCAGAUGGAAGCCUGGGUGACAUCCUACUACAGUUGAAACAUGGUGUCUUUCAGAUGGAAGCCUGGGUGACAUCCUUGUGAGCAGGCCAGAAGAGUGAAUGGAAUGUCGCAUGUCUUUCAUUGGAACCAACCUUUCAAGUGGUUUCCAUAGCAUGGGACGAACACCGGAAAAUAUGCUCUCCUGUAUGUGUCAGCUGGUGCUCCACAAAUGGUGGUAGUCUCCAAAAAGACUGUUCUGAAGAUCUAAACAUCCUGAUAGGUUUACAGAGAAAGACAUGCCACCCUGAGGAUUCUACUGGUUGGGGUUUUAAAAGCAGAAAUCAAGACAAUGAACUUUGGUCCAAAGAGCAACUCGCAACCAAUACAAAGCUUUCAGUAUCGCAGUAAUAUGACUCUGAUAUGAUAUCAUAUCAGCCUAUCUGCUGCAUUUUUCACAAAACUGAAGCUUUUGAACAGUUUCGAAGGAUAAUCCCACAGAGAAUGCAAUUGCAAGGCACAAAUUGAGGCAUGGGUGGCUGCUGCCAAGUGAAGCUGGCCUGGUUUGCUUCUAAGUCACACUAACCUUUCAUGGGAGCAUGUUGUGUUUGUCAUGAAUGCAGUAAUUGCUUGUAUUGUCAUAUGCACUCUUCUGUUAGGUCUCUAAAGUUAUAUAUAUGUAAUUAAAGUUGUAUUACCUCAUAACAGCUCUUCAUCGUUCUUUGGCCAAGUUUAGCAGUGUUAGUAGCAAUCAG